rnacentral:lncRNA from 1 species
GCAUGCCUGUAAUCCUAGCUACUCAGGAGGCUGAGACUGGAGAAUCCCUUGAACCCAGGUGGCACAGGUUGUGGUGGGUCGAGAUGGCACCAUUAUACUCCAGCCUGGGCAAGAAAAGAGAAACUCCAUCUCAAAAAAAAAAAAAAAAAAGCAAGUUCUGGGAGGGACAAAAAACAUAGCAGCAGGACAGGUGGAUCCGGGGAGGAAAUGACCUCGAGGGGAUAAAGAAGGGAGGACAAGUUAGCUGAGGUCAGAUUAGGAAGGAGGAGCCCUGGAUGCUGCAGUGAAACACGGUGUGGUGUGCCCUGUUUGAGAUGGGCUCUUUCAUGUCGAAGAGGUUGGCGUAGCUAGAGGACCAAGGCUCUGUCUUCUGAGACCUUCCUGGUGCCCUCCUUCACCAUUUGCCUUCCCUCUCCACCAUGGAGGAUAGACCGGCAGCAGCUGAGUCUGUGCUGUGAACACACCUUUCCACACACGCCAGCCCCGUGUCCACAGCUCCAAGACCACCUGAGGGAUUCACUCAGUGGAGCUCAUGUGCUUAUAGCGACUCUGUUUCCUAGGUGACCUGGAAGACCUGGAGGAGCAUCUGCCAGGGCAGACAGUCUCUGAGGAAGCCACAGGGGUUCACAUGAUGCAGGUGGACCCAGCCACACCGGCAAAGAGUACGUAUUCUGGGAUCAUCUCUUUGUUUAGGUUUGAAAUCUUAGUGUUGUAAAGGUGGCGCUGCUUCACCUGCUUUUGCUCAAGGGCCACUCUGGUUUGAGCUUUCUGCCAGAAAUGAGAUUUGGGAAGUUUGGUUUAAAAACUACUAAGAGUCACACCGGGCACAGUGGCUCACGCCUGUAAUUCCAGCACCUUGAGAGGCGGAGACGGGCGGAUCAGCAGAGGUCAGGAGUUUGAGACCAGCCUGACUGACAUUGAGAAACCCCAUCUCUCCUAAAAAUACAAAAUUACCUGGGUGUGGUGUCACAUGCCUGCAAUCCCAGCUACUCAGGAGGCCGAGGCAGGAGAAUCACUUGAACCCAGGUGGUAGUGGUUGCAGUGAGCCAAGGUUGUGCCAUUGCACUCCAGCCUGGGCAACGAGCGAAACUCCGUCUCAAAAAAAAAAAAAAAAAAA